UACGUAGGGUGCGAGCGUUAAUCGGAAUUACUGGGCGUAAAGCGUGCGCAGGCGGAUAUUUAAGUCAGAUGUGAAAUCCCCGGGCUUAACCUGGGAAUUGCAUUUGAAACUGGAUGUCUAGAGUGCGUCAGAGGGGGGUGGAAUUCCACGUGUAGCAGUGAAAUGCGUAGAGAUGUGGAGGAACACCGAUGGCGAAGGCAGCCCCCUGGGAUGACACUGACGCUCAUGCACGAAAGCGUGGGGAGCAAACAGG
rnacentral:rRNA from 1 species